CAGGCCUAACACAUGCAAGUCGAACGGUAACAGGUCAAGCUGACGAGUGGCGAACGGGUGAGUAAUACAUCGGAACGUGCCCAGUAGUGGGGGAUAGCCCGGCGAAAGCCGGAUUAAUACCGCAUACGACCUAUGGGUGAAAGCGGGGGAUCGCAAGACCUCGCGCUAUUGGAGCGGCCGAUGGCAGAUUAGGUAGUUGGUGGGGUAAAGGCCUACCAAGCCUGCGAUCUGUAGCUGGUCUGAGAGGACGACCAGCCACACUGGGACUGAGACACGGCCCAGACUCCUACGGGAGGCAGCAGUGGGGAAUUUUGGACAAUGGGCGCAAGCCUGAUCCAGCCAUGCCGCGUGCGGGAAGAAGGCCUUCGGGUUGUAAACCGCUUUUGUCAGGGAAGAAAAGCUCUGGGUUAAUACCUUGGGGUGAUGACGGUACCUGAAGAAUAAGCACCGGCUAACUACGUGCCAGCAGCCGCGGUAAU
rnacentral:rRNA from 1 species